UACGGAGGGGGCUAGCGUUGUUCGGAAUUACUGGGCGUAAAGCGCACGUAGGCGGCUUUGUAAGUUAGAGGUGAAAGCCCGGGGCUCAACUCCGGAAUUGCCUUUAAGACUGCAUCGCUAGAAUUGUGGAGAGGUAAGUGGAAUUCCGAGUGUAGAGGUGAAAUUCGUAGAUAUUCGGAAGAACACCAGUGGCGAAAGCGACUUCCUGGACCAGUACCGACGUUCAGGCACGAAAGCGUGGGGAGCAAACAGG
rnacentral:rRNA from 1 species